UACGUAGGGUGCGAGCGUUGUCCGGAAUUACUGGGCGUAAAGAGCUCGUAGGUGGUUUGUCGCGUUGUUCGUGAAAACCGGGGGCUUAACCCUCGGCGUGCGGGCGAUACGGGCAGACUGGAGUACUGCAGGGGAGACUGGAAUUCCUGGUGUAGCGGCGGAAUGCGCAGAUAUCAGGAGGAACACCGGUGGCGAAGGCGGGUCUCUGGGCAGUAACUGACGCUGAGGAGCGAAAGCGUGGGGAGCGAACAGG
rnacentral:rRNA from 1 species